GAUUAAGCCAUGCAUGUGUAAGUAUAAAUAGUUAACUUUGAAACUGCGAAUGGCUCAUUAUAUCAGUUAUAGUUUAUUUGGUGAAGUGUACUACUUGGAUAACCGUAGUAAUUCUAGGGCUAAUACAUGAGAAAGUCCUCUGGUGAGGUGUGUUUAUUAGAAUGAAAACCAUAUGCUUCGGCAUGAUAGUGAGUAAUAGUAACCUAUCGUAUCGCAUGCUUAAUGUAGCGAUGAGUCUUUCAAGUUUCUGCCCUAUCAGCUUUCGAUGGUAGUGUAUUGGACUACCAUG
rnacentral:rRNA from 1 species